CCUACGGGGGCAGCAGUGAGGAAUAUUGGGCAAUGGAGGCAACUCUGACCCAGCCAUGCCGCGUGAGUGAAGAAGGUUUUCGGAUUGUAAAGCUCUUUCGGAUGUGACGAUGAUGACGGUAGCAUCUAAAGAAGCCCCGGCUAACUUCGUGCCAGCAGCCGCGGUAAUACGUAGGGGGCAAGCGUUAUCCGGAUUUAUUGGGUUUAAAGGGUGCGUAGGCGGAAUGCCAAGUCAGCGGUAAAAUCGCGGGGCUCAACCUCGCUCCGCCGUUGAAACUGGCGUUCUUGAGUGGGCGAGAAGUAUGC
rnacentral:rRNA from 1 species